UGACGAUGUUGAAGCUGACGUCGUUCCAAAACGACUUCGACUUCCCGCAACAACGUGUGGCGUAUUUAGUGAAAUCACCGAGCGACUGGAAAGUGAAGGUCACCUAAUUGGUGAUGGCUCUCAGAAUUACUCCCUGCCUACCGUUUGUAAAUCUGAUCUCACAUCUAUCUCUUCUACUACCUUGUCCAAGUUGAUUGAUGGGAUUUACGAGGACGACAUUUCCAGUUUCCAGAUCAUCGACUGUAGAUAUCCGUACGAGUUUGAAGGAGGUCACAUUA